rnacentral:lncRNA from 1 species
CCAAAUAAGCUAAAAUUGCACAUACUGCCCAAAUAAGCAGGAAAAAAAAAUCAUUUUUGGCUGAGUUGUAAAAAAUUGGAAAACUGAACUUCAUUAAGCAAAUCAAACUUUGCUGGUGUACUUUCAUAGAUGCUACAGAUGCUGAGUUGGUGUUCCAUUCUAAUUAAAGAUUAUUGUUUUCCAGCCAAACUGAUCCAAUCGACUCAUUGAUUUUAAGAUUGGUAAUUUUCUUCUUCGACCUGGGUUUUUAGCUAUAUAACUACCUUAUCAGAAGCCUAAACUACUAAGCGCUAAGAACUCUAAAACUUGUAAGAAAUGACAAUCCAAAUAAAUAAAUAAAUCCUUGAAAUCUUUAUGCUCUUUCGGUAUGGCGGAUGAAUAUCGAUUCCAACUCCGGCGGAUUAAAGAAUUCCCUAACACCAUUAAAAUUGCACGUAGAUGUAGGCCGGCGCUUCCUUGGUGCUUGCGGGCAAGGCAAUUUCUCCGGUAUCUUCGAUUCUCGAGCUGUCGGAGUAGUAGAGAAUUCACUAUCAUCUUCAGAUUCCUCUUUGGGUUUUGUGGAUAUUGAUUUUAAUGGAUCCCGGAUUACGAUCCCAGAUAUUAAACAUUUCUUGCCUUCUGAUUCUUUGCCCGCAUAAACCAUGUUUAAUACAGUAAACCCAAGAAAAAUAAGCGAGAUUAGGAGCAAAUUUUUAUAGACUGAGAAAGAAGGGGUAAGUGAAUUUUUUGGGAUGCAAAAUGAGUGAAAAAUAAUAGAUAAAAUUAGAAGAAUAAACCAAAAGGGAAAGAGAAGAAGCAAAAUGUGAGAUUAGUAAAUAGAGAUACUGAAAUAGCAAUUCAAAAUGAGAGAGUUCACUUAUUUGAAGAGACAAGGAUGAAGCUGACCGUCAAAUACGG